AGUAUUUGGAUUGCUGUACUGGAAAAUGGCAGCAUUGCGAAAGUUUAGUACAAUCAUCGCAGACUUGUGAUUAUCCUCCUGGGGAUUCAGAAGAAACACGACAGGU